rnacentral:rRNA from 1 species
CAGUAGCCGCGGUAAUACGAAGGGUGCAAGCGUUAAUCGGAAUUACUGGGCGUAAAGCGUGCGUAGGCGGUGAGUUAAGUCUGCUGUGAAAUCCCCGGGCUCAACCUGGGAAUGGCAGUGGAUACUGGCUCGCUAGAGUGUGUCAGAGGAUGGUGGAAUUCCCGGUGUAGCGGUGAAAUGCGUAGAGAUCGGGAGGAACAUCAGUGGCGAAGGCGGCCAUCUGGGACAACACUGACGCUGAGGCACGAAAGUGUGGGGAGCAAACAGGAUUAGAUACCCCGGUAGUCCCUGUCUCUUAUAC